rnacentral:rRNA from 1 species
CAGUCGCCGCGGUAAUACAGAGGGUGCGGGCGUUAAUCGGAUUUACUGGGCGUAAAGCGUGCGUAGGCGGCUAAUUGAGUCGGAUGUGAAAUCCCCGAGCUUAACUUGGGAAUUGCAUUCGAUACUGGUUAGCUAGAGUGUGGGAGAGGAUGGUAGAAUUCCAGGUGUAGCGGUGAAAUGCGUAGAGAUCUGGAGGAAUACCGAUGGCGAAGGCAGCCAUCUGGCCUAACACUGACGCUGAGGUACGAAAGCAUGGGGAGCAAACAGGAUUAGAUACCCGAGUAGUCCCUGUCUCUUAUAC